CUUAGGAUAGCUCAGUUGGUAAGAGUAUGAGACUUUUAAUCUCAGGGUCAUUGGAUUGAGCCCCACACUAGACAAAAGA